CAUGGCUCAGGACGAACGCUGGCGGCGUGCCUAAUACAUGCAAGUCGAACGAACUCUGGUAUUGAUUGGUGCUUGCAUCAUGAUUUACAUUUGAGUGAGUGGCGAACUGGUGAGUAACACGUGGGAAACCUGCCCAGAAGCGGGGGAUAACACCUGGAAACAGAUGCUAAUACCGCAUAACAACUUGGACCGCAUGGUCCGAGCUUGAAAGAUGGCUUCGGCUAUCACUUUUGGAUGGUCCCGCGGCGUAUUAGCUAGAUGGUGGGGUAACGGCUCACCAUGGCAAUGAUACGUAGCCGACCUGAGAGGGUAAUCGGCCACAUUGGGACUGAGACACGGCCCAAACUCCUACGGGAGGCAGCAGUAGGGAAUCUUCCACAAUGGACGAAAGUCUGAUGGAGCAACGCCGCGUGAGUGAAGAAGGGUUUCGGCUCGUAAAACUCUGUUGUUAAAGAAGAACAUAUCUGAGAGUAACUGUUCAGGUAUUGACGGUAUUUAACCAGAAAGCCACGGCUAACUACGUGCCAGCAGCCGCGGUAAUACGUAGGUGGCAAGCGUUGUCCGGAUUUAUUGGGCGUAAAGCGAGCGCAGGCGGUUUUUUAAGUCUGAUGUGAAAGCCUUCGGCUCAACCGAAGAAGUGCAUCGGAAACUGGGAAACUUGAGUGCAGAAGAGGACAGUGGAACUCCAUGUGUAGCGGUGAAAUGCGUAGAUAUAUGGAAGAACACCAGUGGCGAAGGCGGCUGUCUGGUCUGUAACUGACGCUGAGGCUCGAAAGUAUGGGUAGCAAACAGGAUUAGAUACCCUGGUAGUCCAUACCGUAAACGAUGAAUGCUAAGUGUUGGAGGGUUUCCGCCCUUCAGUGCUGCAGCUAACGCAUUAAGCAUUCCGCCUGGGGAGUACGGCCGCAAGGCUGAAACUCAAAGGAAUUGACGGGGGCCCGCACAAGCGGUGGAGCAUGUGGUUUAAUUCGAAGCUACGCGAAGAACCUUACCAGGUCUUGACAUACUAUGCAAAUCUAAGAGAUUAGACGUUCCCUUCGGGGACAUGGAUACAGGUGGUGCAUGGUUGUCGUCAGCUCGUGUCGUGAGAUGUUGGGUUAAGUCCCGCAACGAGCGCAACCCUUAUUAUCAGUUGCCAGCAUUAAGUUGGGCACUCUGGUGAGACUGCCGGUGACAAACCGGAGGAAGGUGGGGAUGACGUCAAAUCAUCAUGCCCCUUAUGACCUGGGCUACACACGUGCUACAAUGGAUGGUACAACGAGUUGCGAACUCGCGAGAGUAAGCUAAUCUCUUAAAGCCAUUCUCAGUUCGGAUUGUAGGCUGCAACUCGCCUACAUGAAGUCGGAAUCGCUAGUAAUCGCGGAUCAGCAUGCCGCGGUGAAUACGUUCCCGGGCCUUGUACACACCGCCCGUCACACCAUGAGAGUUUGUAACACCCAAAGUCGGUGGGGUAACCUUUUAGAACCAGC
rnacentral:rRNA from 1 species